rnacentral:rRNA from 1 species
GAUGAACGCUGGCGGCGUGCCUAAUACAUGCAAGUCGAGCGAACAGACGAGGAGCUUGCUCCUCUGACGUUAGCGGCGGACGGGUGAGUAACACGUGGAUAACCUACCUAUAAGACUGGGAUAACUUCGGGAAACCGGAGCUAAUACCGGAUAAUAUAUUGAACCGCAUGGUUCAAUAGUGAAAGACGGUUUUGCUGUCACUUAUAGAUGGAUCCGCGCCGCAUUAGCUAGUUGGUAAGGUAACGGCUUACCAAGGCAACGAUGCGUAGCCGACCUAAGAGGGUGAUCGGCCACACUGGAACUGAGACACGGUCCAGACUCCUACGGGAGGCAGCAGUAGGGAAUCUUCCGCAAUGGGCGAAAGCCUGACGGAGCAACGCCGCGUGAGUGAUGAAGGUCUUCGGAUCGUAAAACUCUGUUAUUAGGGAAGAACAAAUGUGUAAGUAACUAUGCACGUCUGGACGGUACCUAAUCAGAAAGCCACGGCUAACUACGU